rnacentral:piRNA from 1 species
UAUAAAAGCAGAAGAAAAACAUUUGUAAAAA